UGGGCCCAUUUGGGGCAUUCCUCACACUCGUGAGUCGAGCGGUAGAGAGAAGCUUGCUUCUCUUGAGAGCGGCGGACGGGUGAGUAAUGCCUAGGAAUCUGCCUGGUAGUGGGGGAUAACGUUCGGAAACGAACGCUAAUACCGCAUACGUCCUACGGGAGAAAGCAGGGGACCUUCGGGCCUUGCGCUAUCAGAUGAGCCUAGGUCGGAUUAGCUAGUUGGUGAGGUAAUGGCUCACCAAGGCGACGAUCCGUAACUGGUCUGAGAGGAUGAUCAGUCACACUGGAACUGAGACACGGUCCAGACUCCUACGGGAGGCAGCAGUGGGGAAUAUUGGACAAUGGGCGAAAGCCUGAUCCAGCCAUGCCGCGUGUGUGAAGAAGGUCUUCGGAUUGUAAAGCACUUUAAGUUGGGAGGAAGGGCAUUAACCUAAUACGUUAGUGUUUUGACGUUACCGACAGAAUAAGCACCGGCUAACUCUGUGCCAGCAGCCGCGGUAAUACAGAGGGUGCAAGCGUUAAUCGGAAUUACUGGGCGUAAAGCGCGCGUAGGUGGUUUGUUAAGUUGGAUGUGAAAUCCCCGGGCUCAACCUGGGAACUGCAUUCAAAACUGACUGACUAGAGUAUGGUAGAGGGUGGUGGAAUUUCCUGUGUAGCGGUGAAAUGCGUAGAUAUAGGAAGGAACACCAGUGGCGAAGGCGACCACCUGGACUAAUACUGACACUGAGGUGCGAAAGCGUGGGGAGCAAACAGGAUUAGAUACCCUGGUAGUCCACGCCGUAAACGAUGUCAACUAGCCGUUGGAAGCCUUGAGCUUUUAGUGGCGCAGCUAACGCAUUAAGUUGACCGCCUGGGGAGUACGGCCGCAAGGUUAAAACUCAAAUGAAUUGACGGGGGCCCGCACAAGCGGUGGAGCAUGUGGGUUUAAUUCGAAGCAACGCGAAGAACCUUACCAGGGCCUUGACAUCCAAUGAACUUUCUAGAGAUAGAUUGGUGCCUUUCGGGAACAUUGAGACAGGUGCUGCAUGGCUGUCGUCAGCUCGUGUCGUGAGAUGUUGGGUUAAGUCCCGUAACGAGCGCAACCUUUGUCCUUUAGUUACAAGCACGUCAUGGUGGGCACUCUAAGGAGACUGCGUGACAACCGGAGAAGGUGGGGAUGACGUCAGUCAUCAUGCCCUUUACGACUGGGCUACCACACGGUGCUACAAUGAUCCGGAUC
rnacentral:rRNA from 1 species